rnacentral:rRNA from 1 species
AGUGAACGCUGGCGGUAGGCCUAACACAUGCAAGUCGAACGGCAGCACGGUAAGAGCUUGCUCUUACGGGUGGCGAGUGGCGGACGGGUGAGGAAUACAUCGGAAUCUACUUUUUCGUGGGGGAUAACGUAGGGAAACUUACGCUAAUACCGCAUACGACCUACGGGUGAAAGCAGGGGAUCUUCGGACCUUGCGCGAUUGAAUGAGCCGAUGUAGGAUUAGCUAGUUGGCGGGGUAAAGGCCCACCAAGGCGACGAUCCGUAGCUGGUCUGAGAGGAUGAUCAGCCACACUGGAUGUGAGACACGGUCGAGACUCCUACGGGAGGCAGCAGUGGGGAAUAUUGGACAAUGGGCGCGAGCCUGAUCCAGCAAUACCGCGUGAGUGAAGAAGGCCUUCGGGUUGGAAAGCCCUUUUGUUGGGAAAGAAAAGAAGCAGGUUAAUACCCCACUGUUCUGACGGUACCCAAAGAAUAAGCACCGGCUAACUUCGUG